rnacentral:rRNA from 1 species
CAGCAGCCGCGGUAAUACGUAGGGCGCAAGCGUUGUCCGGAAUUAUUGGGCGUAAAGAGCUCGUAGGCGGUCUGUCACGUCGGUUGUGAAAACACAAGGCUCAACCUUGUGCCUGCAAUCGAUACGGGCAGACUAGAGUACUGCAGGGGAGACUGGAAUUCCUGGUGUAGCGGUGGAAUGCGCAGAUAUCAGGAGGAACACCGGUGGCGAAGGCGGGUCUCUGGGCAGUAACUGACGCUGAGGAGCGAAAGCGUGGGGAGCAAACAGGAUUAGAUACCCUGGUAGUCCACGCCGUAAACGGUGGGUGCUAGGUGUGGGGCCCUUUCCACGGGUUCUGUGCCGAAGCUAACGCAUUAAGCACCCCGCCUGGGGAGUACGGCCGCAAGGCUAAAACUCAAAGGAAUUGACGG